CGUUCCCGGGCCUUGUACACACCGCCCGUCACACCACGAGAGUUUGUAACACCCGAAGUCGGUGGGGUAACCUUUUGGAGCCAGCCGCCUAAGGUGGGACAGAUGAUUGGGGUG
rnacentral:rRNA from 1 species